CCUGUCUUCAGCUGGAUUUUGUGCAGAGAUUCCUGAGCAGUUGGAGGAGUACCGGGUAAUAAAGUGGGGAGAUAUUCUCAAACUAAGUAGAUCUGGUACUGUGUUGGACGAAGACACCAGAUGUGCUGCAUUUGUUCAACUACCGAUAACUCGAAAAAAGCUGGAAUUGGCCGUGGCAGAAAAGAGUUCUCUGGAACUAUCCUUGAACAAAACGAGGAUAGAUCUACUCAAAGUUCAAGAACGCUUCAACUCUACCCAGGAGGAACUAGUUGAGGUACAAGAACGCUUCAACUCUACCCAGGAGGAGUUAGUUGGGGUCAGGAGGGAACUUGGAGCAACAGAAGGGGAGUUGAAUGAAACGAGGAGCGACCUUCAAGAAACAAAGUUGGAACUUAGGAAUCUCACGGAGUCUAAAUGUGCGCUAAAGAAAGGGAAUUUGACAAAGUGGGAUAUGUUCUAUUCGCCCGAGUACUAUAAUAAAACCUUCACUCGCACUCUCUACCAACAACUCACCUCGACAUGGGAUUCAAUUAGCAAUCGAUUGUUUGGGAUGACGAUUACUGACAAGGUAAUCGAGCUGAUAAAAGAUCUGGACGAUGAUCAGAUCGAUCACUGCGGAGAAUUAUCAUAAAGCCUUGCUACCAAAAUUAUGUGUUACCGGAGAGAGGAUGCACCAUGCUGACGCGUCACGAGAAUGACAGCUGUAUACUGACGCU